CUACGUGCCAGCAGCCGCGGUAAUACGGAAGGUCCAGGCGUUAUCCGGAUUUAUUGGGUUUAAAGGGAGCGUAGGCCGUGGAUUAAGCGUGUUGUGAAAUGUAGACGCUCAACGUCUGAAUUGCAGCGCGAACUGGUUCACUUGAGUAUGCGCAACGUAGGCGGAAUUCGUCGUGUAGCGGUGAAAUGCUUAGAUAUGACGAAGAACUCCGAUUGCGAAGGCAGCUUACGGGAGCACAACUGACGCUGAAGCUCGAAGGUGCGGGUAUCAAACAGGAUUAGAUACCCUGGUAGUCCGCACAGUAAACGAUGGAUGCCCGUUGUUAGUUCACUUAUGAAUUAGCGACCAAGSGAAAGCAUUAAGCAUCCCACCUGGGGAGUACGCCGGCAACGGUGAAACUCAAAGGAAUUGACGGGGGCCCGCACAAGCGGAGGAACAUGUGGUUUAAUUCGAUGAUACGCGAGGAACCUUACCCGGGCUUGAAUUGCAGACGAACGAUUCAGAGA
rnacentral:rRNA from 1 species